rnacentral:lncRNA from 10 species
CUGGAGUGCAGUGGUGGGAUCAUAGCUCACUGCGGCCUCGAAUUCCUCAUCUCAAGCGAUCAUCCUGCCUCAGCCUCCCAAGUAGCUGGGGCCACAGGUGGAAGUCACCAUGCCCAGCCCAUUAUAUUAUUUCUAAUCCUCACGGUGAGCCUGCAUGAUGGGUAUAAUUUUCCCAUUUUUGCAGAUCAGAAAUACCAAGGUCUCAAGAUAUUAAGUAAAACUGUUACAUGACCAUGUUUAUAAGAGGCAAAUUCAGAUUCAUCUGAUCCUGAAGCCUGAGACUUCCAUUUUCCACUGCCCAGUCGGAAUGCCUGGCUCCUAGAGGUUGGCAUCAGGCACACCUAGGAGGGUGGCACAGCCACCGUCAUGACAGUUUUGAGAGGUGAUGAACCCCCAUCUGUCCAAGCACUCCUCCAUGACUCCCAUGGUACCAACCAAAUUCCAGCCUGAGAGUUACUGUUCAAGGACCUUCUUCAAGAGCCCUGCAAAGUAUCCGUGGUCCUCAGGCCUGGGGGAAGAUUCCGGAAUUUGGAGAAGAAACGUAGAAACACACAACUCUUUAAGAUAUAGAAGCAUUAAAGAAAAUGUCUGGGGAGAACAGACUAUGGGCACAAUGAGAAAAAACUGAACUAAGAAUCAAAAGCCCUGGCCGGGUGUGGUGGCUCACACCUGUAAUUCCAGCACUUUGGGAGGCUGAGGUGGGCGGAUCACUUGAGGUCAGGAGUUCGAGACCAGCCUGGCCAACAUGGAAAAAUCCCAUCUCUACUAAAAAUACAAAAACUAGCUGGGCGUGGUGGUGCAUGCCUGUGGUCCCAGCUACUUGGGAGGCUAAGGCAGGAGAAUCGCUUGAACCCAGGAGGCAGAGGUUGCAAUGAGCCAAGGUCAUGCCACUGCACUCCAGCCUGGGUGACAGAGCAAAACUCCAUCUCAAAAUAAAUAAAUAAAGAAUCAAAA